CCCUUAGAUGUUCUGGGCUGCACGCGCGCUACACUGAAGCGUUCAACGAGUAUUCACCUUGCCCGGGAGGGUUGGGUAAUCUUUUUAAAACGCUUCGUGAUGGGGAUAGAUUAUUGCAAUUAUUAAUCUUCAACGAGGAAUUCCCAGUAAGCGCGAGUCAUCAGCUCGUGCUGAUUACGUCCCUGCCCUUUGUACACACCGCCCGUCGCUCCUACCGAUUGGGUGAUCCGGUGAAUAAUUCGGACUGCAGCAGUGCUUGGUCCUCCGGGCUUUGCAGCGGAAAGUUUAGUGAACCUUAUCACUUAGAGGAAGGAGAANUCGUAACA
rnacentral:rRNA from 1 species